UACAGAGGUCUCAAGCGUUGUUCGGAUUCAUUGGGCGUAAAGGGUGCGUAGGUGGCGGGGUAAGUCAGGUGUGAAAUCUCGGGGCUCAACCCCGAAACUGCAUUUGAUACUGCCUUGCUAGAGUACUGGAGAGGAGAUUGGAAUUUACGGUGUAGCAGUGAAAUGCGUAGAUAUCGUAAGGAAGACCAGUGGCGAAGGCGAAUCUCUGGACAGUUCCUGACGCUGAGGCACGAAGGUCAGGGGAGCAAACGGG
rnacentral:rRNA from 1 species